rnacentral:sRNA from 1 species
CAGAAGUACCGUUUACUGGACUGGUGAUUCCCUAGGGUACAACUAAAUAAUUAUUAGUUGUAACCUAGGGAAUCACCAGCCCAGUAUUUGGUACU